GGACCCGCACAAGCGGUGGAGCAUGUGGUUUAAUUCGAUGCAACGCGAAAAACCUUACCUACUCUUGACAUACUUGGGAGCUCUUGUAAUGAGAGUGUGCCUUUUGGAACCAAGAUACAGGUGCUGCAUGGCUGUCGUCAGCUCGUGUCGUGAGAUGUUCCGUUAAGUCGGAUAACGAGCGCAACCCUUACCCUUAUUUGCCAGCGAUUCGGUCGGGAACUAUAAGGGGACUGCCGGUGAUAAACCGGAGGAAGGUGAGGACGACGUCAAGUCAUCAUGGCCCUUACGAGUAGGGCUACACACGUGCUACAAUGGGGAAUACAGACGGCCGCUAACCCGCGAGGGGGAGCUAAUCCGACAAAACUUGUCGUAGUCCGGAUCGAAGUCUGCAACUCGACUUCGUGAAGUCGGAAUC
rnacentral:rRNA from 1 species